GACGUAGGGCGCGAGCGUUGUCCGGAAUUAUUGGGCGUAAAGAGCUUGUAGGCGGUUUGUCGCGUCUGCUGUGAAAUUUCGGGGCUCAACCCCGAACUUGCAGUGGGUACGGGCAGACUAGAGUGUGGUAGGGGAGACUGGAAUUCCUGGUGUAGCGGUGAAAUGCGCAGAUAUCAGGAGGAACACCGGUGGCGAAGGCGGAUCUCUGGGCCAUUACUGACGCUGAGGAGCGAAAGCGUGGGGAGCGAACAGG
rnacentral:rRNA from 1 species